GGUUCCAUAGUGUAGCGGUAAGCACAUCUGUUUUAUACGCAGAAGAUCCUGAGUUCACACCCCAGUGGAGCCA
rnacentral:tRNA from 1 species